rnacentral:lncRNA from 1 species
UGAUAGCAUUCCGUGCAACAGCAUCCGAUGGGGGGAUAAGCCAUUGGUGGUGGAGGACAAGGUUCUGGAACCUUUGGUGCUGCUGCUGGCGGUUUCGGUGGUGGUUCUUUUCGUUUCUCAGGUUCCUUAGGCUUUUCGGGUUGUUUAGGUUUCUCGGGUUCUUUGGGUUUUUCGGGUUCUUUCGGCUUUUCGGGUUGUUUAGGUUUCUCGGGUUCUUUGGGUUUUUCGGGUUCUUUUGGUUUUUCGGGUGCUUUAGGCUUUUCGGGUUCUUUUGGUUUUUCUGGUACUUUAGGCUUCUCUGGUUCUUUGGGUUUUUCAGGUUCUUUGGGCUUUUCGGGUUCUUUAGGCUUCUCAGGCUCCUUGGGUUUGGGAGGAGGAGGUGGAGGUUUGAUCUCAAUGCUCUUGAUUGAUCCAGCACCCUUGCAACAUAUCUUGUCCCUCAGCUUCUCAGGAUUGCAGCAUACCACAGUAAUGGUCACGGUGUUGGCUUUCUCAUUGUAUAUCUGGUCUCGUAUUUCUCUUGUUCGCAAAAACCCAUCAUCAAAAAAUUAUCAACUUAAACCAUAUAAAAAACUACUUUGCAAUUAUUAAAAUGCUAAACACAAAAAGGACAAGCAUAAAAAUCAGGAA